UUCAACUAGGGUUCUAAGGCAAAAGUCUA
rnacentral:piRNA from 1 species